rnacentral:rRNA from 1 species
AUUGAACGCUGGCGGCAGGCCUAACACAUGCAAGUCGAGCGGUAGCACAGAGAGCUUGCUCUCGGGUGACGAGCGGCGGACGGGUGAGUAAUGUCUGGGAAACUGCCUGAUGGAGGGGGAUAACUACUGGAAACGGUAGCUAAUACCGCAUAACGUCGCAAGACCAAAGUGGGGGACCUUCGGGCCUCAUGCCAUCAGAUGUGCCCAGAUGGGAUUAGCUAGUAGGUGGGGUAACGGCUCACCUAGGCGACGAUCCCUAGCUGGUCUGAGAGGAUGACCAGCCACACUGGAACUGAGACACGGUCCAGACUCCUACGGGAGGCAGCAGUGGGGAAUAUUGCACAAUGGGCGCAAGCCUGAUGCAGCCAUGCCGCGUGUAUGAAGAAGGCCUUCGGGUUGUAAAGUACUUUCAGCGAGGAGGAAGGCAUUAAGGUUAAUAACCUUAGUGAUUGACGUUACUCGCAGAAGAAGCACCGGCUAACUCCGUGCCAGCAGCCGCCGUAAGAC